AUGAAGCUAUUCUGUGAUGAAGUGCUGGCAACUGUUGUGCCCAUAGCAGUGUACUGGGUGUACUCCGGCGUGUACAUGUGGCUUGGCCAGUGCCAGUCAAUGGACAGGUACAGGCUACACCCCAGGAAGGAGGAGAACGGCAAGAACUUGGUGUCCAAGCGCGACGCCGUCAAGGGCGUCGUCCUGCAGCAGCUCCUCCAGGCCGCCACCGCCGCCGCCAUGUUCACCCUUGUAGGCGAGAGCACCGCGACGGCCACCGGCAGAGCACCGCAGCGGACCUGGACCGGGACGUGCUUGACGGUGGCGUGCCAGAUCGGAGUGGCCAUGGCCGUGCUCGACGGGUGGCAGUACGUGUGGCACCGGUGCAUGCACCUCAACAGGUUCCUGUACCGGCACGUCCACUCGUGGCAUCACCGCCUCGUCGUGCCCUACGCCUUCGGCGCCCUGUACAACCACCCCAUCGAGGGCCUCCUCCUCGACACCAUGGGCGGCGCGCUCGGCUUCCUCGCCUCCGGCAUGUCCCCGCGCGUCUCCAUCUUCUUCUUCACGCUCUGCACCGUCAAGGCCGUCGACGACCACUGCGGCAUGUGGCUGCCGGGGAACAUGUUCCACCGGUGCUUCUGGAACAACACGGCGUACCACGAUGUCCACCAUCAGCUGCGCACUAGUGGAUACAACUUCUCGCAGCCCUUCUUCGUGACAUGGGACAGGGUGUUUGGGACGCACAUGCCCUAUGUGAUCGAGGAAGACAGGGCCCACGGUGUGCUCCGGGCGCGGCCCAUGGCCUUACAUACAUCUGCCGGAAAAUAG
rnacentral:rRNA from 1 species